UACGUAGGGUGCAAGCGUUGUCCGGAAUUAUUGGGCGUAAAGAGCUCGUAGGCGGUCUGUCGCGUCGAAUGUGAAAACCCGGGGCUCAACCCCGGAAUGGCCUUCGAUACUGGGUGCCUAGAGUUCGAGAGAGGUGAGUGGAAUUCCGAGUGUAGAGGUGAAAUUCGUAGAUAUUGGAAGGAACACCAGUGGCGAAGGCGGCUCACUGGCUCGACACUGACGCUGAGGUGCGAAAGCGUGGGGAGCAAACAGG
rnacentral:rRNA from 1 species